CAGAGACUCCUUUUCACAGGGGCCAGCAGCUCUGCUUUCAGUGUAAGUCUGUACUCCACAGGAGCAGAAACAUUGAGGACAGCGUGUACAGAUAAAGUCUGCAUUUGGCAAAAUCAUUAAGAGCCUGUCUGCUACAGGAUGGAAGCUGCUCUGCAGGAACAAGCUUCCAUGAAAGGAGCAGCUUUCUAUACUACACACUUCUUCCAUAAGUCACUGUGUUACCACAGGCCCAAAGGCAAUGGGGGCAAAAUAACCAUGAACUAAAAUAAAACUU